AUUGAACGCUGGCGGCAGGCCUAACACAUGCAAGUCGAACGAGUGGCGGACGGGUGAGUAAUGUCUGGGAAACUGCCUGAUGGAGGGGGAUAACUACUGGAAACGGUAGCUAAUACCGCAUACCAUCAUAUGUGCCCAGAUGGGAUUAGCUUGUUGGUGGGGUAACGGCUCACCAAGGCGACGAUCCCUAGCUGGUCUGAGAUGAGGACCAGCAACACGGGAACUGAGACACGGCCCAGACUCCUACGGGAGGCAGCAGUGGGGAAUAUUGGACAAUGGGCGCAAGCCUGAUGCAGCCAUGCCGCGUGUAUGAAGAAGGCCUUAGGGUUGUAAAGUACUUUCAGCGGGGAGGCGUUACCCGCAGAAGAAGCACCGGCUAACUCCGUGCCAGCAGCCGCGGUAAUAC
rnacentral:rRNA from 1 species